UCCCAAUGUGCUGGGCGCGAUUGACUGUACCCACGUGCAGAUCAGACCGCCACGGAAUUCAGAGGAAUGUUUUCGGAACCGAAAACAGUUCCAUUCCCUGAACGUGCAGGCGGUCUGUGAUGUAAACAUGAGAUUUUUGAACAUUUUUGUGGGAUUUCCUGGAUCAUCUCACGACUCCUUCAUCCUAAGCCAGUCAUCGCUGUUUGACAAGUUUGAAACAGGAAACAUGCCUGGUGGCUGGCUGUUAGGCGAUGCGGGUUAUCCAAACAAACCGUGGCUGUUGACCCCAUUGUCUAAUCCUGUUGGUAGAGCAGAAAAACGUUACCAAGAGACACACAUUGCAUCGAGGGGAGUAAUUGAGCGUGCCUUCGGUGUACUUAAAAGCCGGUUUCGAUGUUUAGACACUUCCGGCGGUGCUCUUUUGUACUCACCGUCGAAGGUUUGCGGCAUGGUAAAUGCAUGUUGUAUUUUACACAACAUAUGUGUCGCAAACCGUUUGCCGGUGACUCUUCGUCGCAGUGCUUUCCGACGCGGGAACCGGUCUUCUGCUCUACCGGUGGGUAUGGACGAAGGAGAGGAUUCCCGGCGGACAUUGAUCCAAAAUUAUUUUGCAGUUGCCUAGUUUUACAUCCUGUUGAUGUAUAUCCCCAGGCCAUGUUUGUACAGUUCGUUACCCCGUUUUAUCCUGUUGUUGGGUUCCCGCAAAUAUUUGAUCCUUUUAUCCAACUCUACCAUGGGUGAACCUACUGGUGAUGUGGACCUGACCCUCCGCCAUGUAGCAGACAACCCCCCCUCAGGUGAGAUGUAUUGCCCAAAACUCCCUUGUCCAA